ACUCCUACGGGAGGCAGCAGUGGGGAAUAUUGCACAAUGGGGGAAACCCUGAUGCAGCCAUGCCGCGUGUGUGAAGAAGGCCUUCGGGUUGUAAAGCACUUUCAGUAGGGAGGAAGGUAGUGUAGUUAACACCUGCAUUAUUUGACGUUACCUACAAAGAAGACACCGGCUAACUCCGUGCCAGCAGCCGCGGUAAUACGGAGGGUGCGAGCGUUAAUCGGAAUUACUGGGCGUAAAGCGCAUGCAGGCGGCCUGUUAAGUCAGAUGUGAAAGCCCGGGGCUUAACCUCGGAAUUGCAUUUGAAACUGGCAGGCUAGAGUCUUGUAGAGGGGGGUAGAAUUUCAGGGUGUAGCGGUGAAAUGCGUAGAGAUCUGAAGGAAUACCAGUGGCGAAGGCGGCCCCCUGGACAAAGACUGACGCUCAGAUGCGAAAGCGUGGGGAGCAAACAGGAUUAGAUACCCUGGUAGGAUAG
rnacentral:rRNA from 1 species